rnacentral:rRNA from 1 species
AUGCGGGUGGAUCACCUCCUGGAGAGUUGGAUCUUGCUUCCUUUUGCUGCGUCAUAUCCCGGGGAAACUUGUGCUAAUACCGUAUGUGGCCUUCGGGAGAAAGAUUUAUCGGCAAGAGAUGAGCCCGCGUUGGAUUAGCUAGUUGGUGGGGUAAAGGCCUACCAAGGCGACGAUCCAUAGCUGGUCUGAGAGGAUGAUCAGCCACAUUGGGACUGAGACACGGCCCAAACUCCUACGGGAGGCAGCAGUGGGGAAUAUUGGACAAUGGGCGCAAGCCUGAUCCAGCCAUGCCGCGUGAGUGAUGAAGGCCCUAGGGUUGUAAAGCUCUUUCACCGGAGAAGAUAAUGACGGUAUCCGGAGAAGAAGCCCCGGCUAACUUCGUGCCAGCAGCCGCGGUAAUACGAAGGGGGCUAGCGUUGUUCGGAAUUACUGGGCGUAAAGCGCACGUAGGCGGAUCGAUCAGUCAGGGGUGAAAUCCCAGGGCUCAACCCUGGAACUGCCUUUGAUACUGUCGAUCUGGAGUAUGGAAG